ACGGCGAGUGAAGCGGCAACAGCUCAAAUUUGAAAUCUGGCGCAAGCCCGAGUUGUAAUUUGUAGAGGAUGCUUCUGGGUAGCGACCGAUCUAAGUUCCUUGGAACAGGACGUCAUAGAGGGUGAGAAUCCCGUAUGUGACCGGCCCGCACCCUUUACGUAGCUCCUUCGACGAGUCGAGUUGUUUGGGAAUGCAGCUCUAAAUGGGAGGUAAAUUUCUUCUAAAGCUAAAUACCGGCCAGAGACCGAUAGCGCACAAGUAGAGUGAUCGAAAGAUGAAAAGUACUUUGGAAAGAGAGUUAAAAAGCACGUGAAAUUGUUGAAAGGGAAGCGCCUGCAACCAGACUUCGCGGCAGUGUUCCGCCGGUCUUCUGACCGGUUCAUUCUCUGUCGCGAGGCCAUCAUCGUCUGGGCCCGCCGGAUAAGACCUGAGGAAUGUGGCUCCCCCUCGGGGGAGUGUUAUAGCCUCUGGUGAUGCGGCGUGGCUCGGGCGAGGUCCGCGCUUCGGCAAGGAUGAUGGCGUAAUGGUUGUCGGCGGCCCGUCUUGAAACACGGACCAAGGAGUCUAACAUCUAUGCGAGUGUUCGGGUGUCAAACCCCUACGCGUAAUGAAAGUGAACGGAGGUGGGAACCGCAAGGUGCACCAUCGACCGAUCCUGAUGUCCUCGGAUGGAUUUGAGUAAGAGCAUAGCUGUUGGGACCCGAAAGAUGGUGAACUAUGCCUGAAUAGGGUGAAGCCAGAGGAAACUCUGGUGGAGGCUCGCAGCGGUUCUGACGUGCAAAU
rnacentral:rRNA from 1 species